GACGAACCGUGCGAACGUUGUUCGGAAUCACUGGGCUUAAAGGGCGCGUAGGCGGGCCGGAUAGUCUGUGGUGAAAGCCCCCAGCUUAACUGGGGAAGUGCCAUGGAUACUGCCGGCCUGGAGGAGGGUAGGGGCAUCUGGAACGCUGGGUGGAGCGGUGAAAUGCGUUGAUAUCCAGCGGAACUCCGGUGGCGAAGGCGAGGUGCUGGACCCUUUCUGACGCUGAGGCGCGAAAGCCAGGGGAGCAAACGGG
rnacentral:rRNA from 1 species